GAUGAAGAACGCAGCGAAAUGCGAUAAGUAAUGUGAAUUGCAGAAUUCAGUGAAUCAUCGAAUCUUUGAACGCACAUUGCGCCCGUCAGUAUUCUGACGGGCAUGCCUGUCCGAGCGUCAUUUCAACCCUCAAGCGCAGCUUGGUGUUGGUGGAUUGCGUGCCCUCGCGGCGCUGCAACCGCCCAAAUACAGUGGCGGUCCCGCUGCGGCUCCCUUUGCGUAGUAACUCACCUCGCACUGGACCGGGCGGCGGCCUGCCGUAAAACCCCAACUCACGAAAUGUUGACCUCGGAUCAGGUAGGAAUACCCGCUGAACUUAAGCAUAUCAAUAAGCGGAGGA
rnacentral:misc_RNA from 1 species